rnacentral:lncRNA from 1 species
AAUUCUUUCUUCUAAUACACAAAUCAUUCGGACUUAGCUUGAUCUUGCAAUUGCUUUGGUUCCUUUAAGGAGGAGGCCGAGAGAGAGAGAUUAAGAAAGGAGAGAUGCAUCUGAGAGAGAGAAACGAGGAGCAGCAGCAAGGAGAGAGGAAGAGAAUAGGAUUCUCGCCAUGGAGGAGAGAAGAAAGGAGAGAAUGAGAAGAAGCUCUGCAGCGGCAAAGAGGAGAAGAGAGAAAAUGAAGAUGUCGCUGGAGAAGGAAAAAGGAGAGAAAUUUAAAGUUUCUGGGAUUAAGAAUUUAUAUAGGGAUUUCUGGUCUGGUUUAAUU